rnacentral:rRNA from 1 species
GGUGAGUAACACGUGGGAACGUGCCUUUUAGUGGGGGAUAACAUCUGGAAACGGAUGCUAAUACCGCAUACGCCCUGAGGGGGAAAGAUUUAUUGCUAAGAGGUCGGCCCGCGGUAGAUUAGGCAGUUGGUGGGGUAAAGGCCUACCAAACCUACGAUCUAUAGCUGGUCUGAGAGGACGAUCAGCCACAUUGGAACUGAGACACGGUCCAGACUCCUACGGGAGGCAGCAGUGAGGAAUAUUGGGCAAUGGAGGCAACUCUGACCCAGCCAUGCCGCGUGAGUGAGAAGGUUUUCGAAUUGUAAAGCUCUUUCGGGUGUGAAGAUGAUGACGGUAACACCAGAAGAAGCCCCGGCAAACUUCGUGCCAGCAGCCGCGGUAAUACGAAGGGGGCGAGCGUUGUUCGGAAUUACUGGGCGUAAAGGGUGUGUAGGCGGUUAAGUAAGAUAGUGGUGAAAUGCCGGGGCUCAACCUCGGAAUUGCCAUUAUGACUAUUUAGCUAGAAUGAUGCAGAGGAUAGCGGAAUACCCAGUGUAGAGGUGAAAUUCGUAGAUAUUGGGUAGAACACCAGAGGCGAAGGCGGCUAUCUGGGCAUUGAUUGACGCUGAGGCACGAAAGCAUGGGG